rnacentral:rRNA from 1 species
UACGGAGGGGGCUAGCGUUGUUCGGAAUUACUGGGCGUAAAGCGCGCGUAGGCGGCUUUGUAAGUUAGAGGUGAAAGCCCGGAGCUCAACUCCGGAAUUGCCUUUAAGACUGCAUCGCUAGAAUUGUGGAGAGGUAAGUGGAAUUCCGAGUGUAGAGGUGAAAUUCGUAGAUAUUCGGAAGAACACCAAUUGCGAAGGCAGCUCGCUACACGAAUAUUGACUCUGAGGCACGAAAGCGUGGGGAUCAAACAGG